rnacentral:rRNA from 1 species
AGAGUUUGAUUCUGGCUCAGGAUUAAUGCUGGUGGUAUGCAUAACACAUGCAAGUCGAACGAGUAGAACUUGUUCUGCUAGUGGCAAACGGGCGAGUAAUACAUAUUUAACUUACUUUUACGAGGAGGAUAGCAGUUCGAAAGGACUAUUAAUACUCCAUAGGUUUAUAAACUAAAUCAAAGAGGCUCCCUCGGGGGCCUCGCGUGAAAAUAGGAAUAUGUCCUAUUAGGUAGUUGGCGGGGUAAAGGCCCACCAAGCCAGUGAUGGGUAGCUGGACUGAGAGGUUGAACAGCCGCAAUGGGAUUGAGAUAUGGCCCAUAUUCCUACGGGAAGCAGCAGUGAGGAAUUUUUCACAAUGGACGAAAGUCUGAUGGAGCAAUACCACGUGAACGAUGAAGGUCUUCUGAUUGUAAAGUUCUUUUAUUUAGGAAAAAAAGCGCGCUAGGAAAUGAGCGCGCCUUGAUGGUACUAAUUGAAUAAGUGACAGCUAACUAUGUGCCAGCAGCUGCGGUAAAACAUAGGUCACGAGCAUUAUCCGGAUUUAUUGGGCGUAAAGGAAGCGUAGGUGGGGAGGUUGAUCCAUUGUUAAAGGCAUUUGCUUAACAAAUGUGUGCGAUGGAGAUCGCCUCCCUAGAGUUAAUCAGGGGGUACUGGAAUUCAAUGUGUAGCGGUGGAAUGCGUA